UGCGUACUAGAUGAGGUACGCCAAAGCAGAGUUUUUCGGGAUUUAAAGUAGAAUUCAGGCCUCGGAGUUUACGCAAAGUUUUUCCACUCCCAACAUCCCACAGCAUUACUGUUUUAUUAGCAGAACCGGAGGCGAUUGGUGAGCUGUCAAACGAUCCUCUUGCGUCCAACACUUCGAAUCCAUGGCCCGAUUUAUCCGCACCACAGGUGAUGCAGUAAUUGCCGUCCACAUUUAAACGCACUGCGCGAAUGGCGCCCUGCUUACAGUCAAAGCUCUCCGGGGAAGAUGAGUAAAGUGUCUGGGCAGGGGUGGAUUGUGUUGGGAUAUUGAUUAUUGUGGAGAGAAUGAUUAUCGGCUGAAGGCUAUCACCGUGUAUUGUGCGGAGGAAAGAUACUGUUGUGCGGUUGAAGAUUAUCAGAUUGUUCUCCCUUCUUUGCGCCUCCGCCAUCGUCUCUGCUCCGCUGCGCUGCUGUUCCACGCCAACCUCGUCGUUCCGGAGUACUGCCACCGGUCUUCGUUCCACGGUUCCCCGCCGUCGCUACCGUGUCCACUGUUGCUCCGACGUCCCUCUCCGGCGUGCUGUCCCCUGCGUCUCCCGCUUGCGUGUCUCCUCCGAUCACCGCCUUCAUCUCCCACAUCGGCGUGACCGGCUGUGUGUCCCCUGGAUAUCCCCACCACCGGUUCAAGUGAGGACAGUGCUUCGGCACAGUCCAGCCUUGUCCCGGCCGGUAACGUGCGGACAGUGCUUCGGCACAGUUCACUGUUUCCGACGCCUGCAGGGAUCAAGUUGAUCCAGCAGGUUAAACACAAGUAUACGAUGGCGUACUCAUCUCCGUCGUCCUCCACAUCCGUCGCCAUGCCCGCGGGCGACCACCGGCCACCAUUCCAUGAGCUGCGCCCGGUGUCCUUUGACCACAAACGGAACAGCGUGGGCCGCCUGGCCCGAUCUCGCACGGCCUUCCUAACGGACUCACAGGGCACCAGUGUGCUCCUGUGUGCGGAUAGAUCGCCGGAUAAAGGAUGGCGAAGC